rnacentral:lncRNA from 1 species
UCCAAAUGAUACAGCAAACUUGGACCUGUAGUUGGCAUCAGUCCAAAAUCUAGAGCCCAAAACUAAACACAAACAUAAUUUAUUUAGACAAAAUCUCAGCAUGGUUAAUUCAGGGGAACUUUGAUUUCAGUAAUAAUUAACUUGCUUGUUGAUUUGCAUUAACACACUUCAAAGUUCUGUUUUCUUAAUCUAAUACAGCUGUAAAUUAAGUCUUUAUGUGUGAAUAUGGUUCUUAGUGAAAAAUAUUAAAAUCAUUUUAUGACCUGACUAGAAAUAACAGUGAUGCAAAAAUUUUUAUCUUAAAAUGAUAGAAAUGUAUUCCCCCUACCAAUUUUCAGAAAACUUCAAGAUAUAAUUUCAACCAAUUUAAGUUCUAAGGCAGUCUGUUUUCCACUAAGCAAACUUCCCUGUUACUAAAAAUAAUGAAAUCCUAUGGAUAGGAGAAACCUAUUCUAUCAGAAAUAAGGAGAAAGCCAUUAACUACAAACAG